ACAGAGGGUGCAAGCGUUAAUCGGAAUUACUGGGCGUAAAGCGCACGUAGGUGGAUUAGCAAGUUGGAUGUGAAAGCCCUGGGCUCAACCUGGGAACUGCAUUCAAAACUACUAGUCUAGAGUAUAGGAGAGGGAAGUGGAAUUUCCGGUGUAGUGGUGAAAUACGUAGAUAUCGGAAGGAACACCAGUGGCGAAGGCGACUUCCUGGCCUAAUACUGACACUGAGGUGCGAAAGCGUGGGGAGCAAACAGG
rnacentral:rRNA from 1 species